CCAGAAUCUUACAGGAAGGUAAUACUGGAACAGAGUUUUAAUUUGCUUGAAUUUCUCUGUAGGCAAGCCAGUUUACACCUGGGACCACCAUGUUCAAGGGACAUCAAGAGGAAACGAAAGCCAGCUGCAGCCUCCAUGUCCAGCCCAGCAUCAGCAACUUUAUCUGUCCACAUGGAUGCAGCAGAGUCAGAGCUACCAGCAACACCGUCCCUGAGAUCGCAGAACUCUGAGUGGACUGGGAAAACACCAGCAGCCGAGAAAGCCACUAUUGCUGCCUCCAGUAACUUUUUUAAAAUGCCACCAGAGAAGAGCCCUGGAUACAGCUAAAAGGAAGCAUUGCAACUGUAAAAGCUUGCUGGAUUUUGGAAUUGUUUGACUUUGGUGUGUGUCUUCACCAAAUAUCUUGUUUGGCAGUAGUGAUCUCUUCAGUAUUGGUGCGUGACGCGUGCCAUCAUCCAGACUGAUCUGCGUGCCCCACAUACCUAAAUCAUGUUUGUGAAUCUAUGUUUAAAAAAAGGUAAUCAGUGUUGGGACCGCAGUGGCUUUUAAAAAUGUUCUUGCUAUUCCUGUAUUUAUUAUGCAUUCAUCUCUUUCCCUGAUGCCAGCUCAUAUGUGCUGGGUCAUGUACAGAUUCUUUUGGGUUUUCAGAUCUUUAUUCACCCCCAGACAUGUUGCUUGUUUGUACGUUUGGCAUUUUUUGGGUGAAAGUCCCAUUGCCACUCUGGGAGGCAAGUCUCCCCCUGCUUUCUUCCAGGCCGGGAGGAUUUCUUGGCUGGGGAAUGAGGAGGGACUGCAAACAAGUUGAAAUGUGGAACCUGAAUUCUGUAUUAGUAGGAUGUUUUCAGGCCAUGUACUAAUGGACUGUAAUCAUGUUGCUUUUGGCAAAGCAAAUACAGUGCUUGUCCAUUCAGAAAUUGCCAUUGGCUCACUGGCAGCAUGUACCUUCUCCCUUGCUCUGAAUGUCUAUAGUCUUGCUUGUGUAUUGCAUGUUCUUUCUUAAAUCUCCUACCAGAUAAGGAUUUGGGAGAACUACUUGGACAUUAAAUGUGCAAGCUGGAGUCCUGCAAAGGAACUUGGGCCCUUGUAUAUCCUUGGAGUAUGGUAGAGGAUAUACAAAACUUCAAUUUCUCCAUGUAUAAAUUAAAAAAUGACUGCUAGCAUUUCUAAAUGACACUUGCCGUUGAAGUUAACAUGCCAUUGAACAAAAAAAGCCAUUUAAAGUAUCACCUGAGUUCAGAGCAUUCUGGGUAUUGAUCAGACCACUUCUGCCGCAUGUUUUCCCUCACUUCAAAAAAUGUUGUCUGCCGUAUCUACCGGAGGUGUCUCCACCUACUGAUGAUUGUACUUUACUCUGCAGCGUACACAAAAGAGAUUCUCUUCAUAGCAUUUUGACUUGGUCACCCAUUACCUUCUGUGUUGCAGAAUAUAUGGAUAGUGAUUUCUUCCCUCUAUUUUUUUGAAUUCUUGAUCACACUCCACUUACUUUUCUUGAAUUUGUCUGCCUGGAGAUUAUUCUGGGCAACAUUUUUAGAAUAUACACCUGGAUAGCAUCUGUCAAAGAGCAGGUGGUCUCGUGGCUUCUAAAGUCCAUUAAAAAUAGGAAAUUUGUGUAUGCAUA